AUUGAACGCUGGCGGCAGGCCUAACACAUGCAAGUCGAGCGGAUGAAGGGAGCUUGCUCCUGGAUUCAGCGGCGGACGGGUGAGUAAUGCCUAGGAAUCUGCCUGGUAGUGGGGGAUAACGUCCGGAAACGGGCGCUAAUACCGCAUACGUCCUGAGGGAGAAAGUGGGGGAUCUUCGGACCUCACGCUAUCAGAUGAGCUAGGUCGGAUUAGCUAGUUGGUGGGGUAAAGGCCUACCAAGGCGACGAUCCGUAACUGGUCUGAGAGGAUGAUUCGUCACACUGGAACUGAGACACGGUCCAGACUCCUACGGGAGGCAGCAGUGGGGAAUAUUGGACAAUGGGCGAAAGCCUGAUCCAGCCAUGCCGCGUGUGUGAAGAGGGUCUUCGGAUUGUAAAGCACUUUAAGUUGGGAGGAAGGGCAGUAAGUUAAUACCUUGCUGUUUUGACGUUACCAACAGAAUAAGCACCGGCUAACUUCGUG
rnacentral:rRNA from 1 species